GGAAUCUUGCGCAAUGGGCGAGAGCCUGACGCAGCAACGCCGCGUGCGGGAUGAAGGCCUUCGGGCUGUAAACCGCUUUCAGCAGGAACGAAAAUGACGGUACCUGCAGAAGAAGGAGCGGCCAACUACGUGCCAGCAGCCGCGGUGACACGUAGGCUCCAAGCGUUGUCCGGAUUUAUUGGGCGUAAAGAGCUCGUAGGCGGUUUAGUAAGUCGGGUGUUAAAACUCUGGGCUCAACCCGGAGAGGCCAUCCGAUACUGCUGUGACUUGAGUUCAGGAGGGGAGCGGGGAAUUCCUAGUGUAGCGGUGAAAUGCGCAGAUAUUAGGAGGAACACCGGUGGCGAAGGCGCCGCUCUGGACUGAAACUGACGCUGAGGAGCGAAAGCAUGGGUAGCAAACAGGAUUAGAUACCCUGGUAGUCCAUGCCGUAAACGGUGGGCACUAGGUGUGGGUUCCAACUAACGGGAUCCGCGCCGUCGCUAACGCAUUAAGUGCCCCGCCUGGGGAGUACGGUCGCAAGACUAAAACUCAAAUGAAUUGACGG
rnacentral:rRNA from 1 species